rnacentral:misc_RNA from 1 species
GGGCUGGUAGUUUUAGGGCCCUGCGAGUGACAAGGGUGCUUUAUUGACUGACAGUGACAGAAAUGGGGGACUGCGGCAUUGGAAUGGUACUGUGAGGGACGGUGACAGCUGUAUAUCAGCGUUCAGGAGCCAGCGCCGAAACAAUAAGGGUUCGAGGCACUGAGAGAAGACAACGAUGAAUCGACGCCCUGUUUCAGAAUCCGGAAGGUGACACCAGAGCAGAUGGAAGUCCUCAUGUUGGCGGCACUGGUCCUAUCAGGAUCUAGUUGCUAUGGAGAUGAGAUGGCAUCACACCUGUUGCUGUUGGAUAAGCUGCCAGAAGGAAUCAGUGCCAAGAACCAACUGCCCCUUGUCAUCAGAACCAACUACAGUGGUUCUGUCCGAUUCCAAGAAUCUGAUGAUUUCCGAGUGGUUCUGAAUGUGACGGCGCCGUCCCUGCAAGAUGCAUACAGCGUCCAGGCAGACCUGGUACCUCACCGCAACACCCUGAUGCUGCAGGUGUACAAGAUGAGUGUUCCUGGAGGCUUCAGUCUGCUGUGGUUGUUUGUUGGGAUCGCGGCGGCGACAUUCCUCGUGUUCGUGUGUGCCGCCAUCUACGCCGUGUGCUGGAUCAGCUCGGAGCAGUGCAUGUACGACCUGGCGGAGCGGAAGAGCUACGCCAGCAGCAGCCAGCCCGGCAUCUACCGCUCCCGCAACAGCAUGCAGAUGGCGCUGCAGCAGGGGGACAUCGCGCUGUUGGCAGAGGAGGCGGACAACAUCCACAACGACGACACGUUAAAGAGAGUUCCAGAGAUGCCAGAGGAAGAGGAAGCCGAGGCCAUUGAAAUGGAGGAGCUGAGAAACAAAGACAAAGGAGAAGACUUCACUGACCGAGGUGAUGAAGCAUCAGUCAACAUCACUGAGAAGAAUCUGGUGAAGAGUCGCUACCACACCCAGAGCAAGACAAUUCACAAAGAUCUCAUCAAGAAGGGCAAGAGGAAGCGUUUCCGGCGCGGCAAGCCUCACAGCGAGACGUAUGACACGGUGAUGGAGUAUCCAGAGAACUCAUCUGAAGGAUCCGGGGCUUCAGAAGCAGAUGGAGAAGACAAAGAGGAGGAUGGGAAAGGGAAACACGAAGCUCGGGAACACCACGUCAUGAAACAGGGCCGAGAGAUGACAACCUUCCAUCCUAAGCUGACUCGCUCUGCCGCACCUGACCCAAGUCACAGAGACAUGGAUCACCCUCAACACCACGCCCCUGCCCCGCCCCACACAGCAGGUGCCACCCCAGGGGGUGAGGCCACCAGACCAGACCCAGCUGACCCUACUGACCUCACCGACCCAAACUAUACCCCCUUCCUGGUGCAGGCCGACGUCCACCAGAUCGGUCUGGCCGCUGAGAUCCUCCGGAACCCCCCGGACAAGAGACAUGCGGGGAACCCCGGCCAUGGCAGGUCGGGCGUGGCUCCAGUUCCGAUACCGGUCAAAGUUCCCCAGAGGAAGGUGGCAUUUUCAGAUGAUGAGAGGAAUGAUGCCAAGUCCUGCCACGAAGCACUGGAGAUAUUUCAGGAGGUGUCGCGGCGCUAUGACCUCGGGCAGCGCCUUGGUGUCAUCCGUGAAAGUGUCACUGAGGACACCCCAUCCGACAUGGACGGAGCGGAGGGGGAAAACCGCUAUUCGCAGUCCAUAUAUGGCAGUAGUGAGAUAUUCGAGACCGACCUUGGAGACCGAGUCUACUUUGACAUCAAUGACUCUGACCUUGAAAUACCCCCAAUAGACUCCGGGGACGACAGACUGUCUGACGGCAGCGUCCCCAACACUCCCCAACCAGGGUGCAAUCCACACUCCCCCAACCCUGGCAACCCACACAACCACAGCAACGGUGGCCUCAGCACCAGCGGCAAUGGUGCAUUCAACACCAGCGGCAAUGGUGCAUUCAACACCAGCAGCAAUAGUGGAUUCAACACCAGCGGCAAUGGUGCCUUCAACAGCAGUGGCCACCAAGCUUCUCUCAAGCCCAACCUGAAGAGUCCCGGCUUGAGUACAUUUGGUAUGGGCUCCGCUCACACCAGUAAAGGGUCGGAUGUUGGUCGGCAGGAGCCCGGGUGUGUGUCGCCUAGUCAGACCCUGUGUCCCUCAACGGCUGGUCCCGAGAGUGAUUCCCCACCCCUCCCCCCUCCCCCGGAGGUCAUACAACCCCAGCCCCCCGAGGGCGACGCCAGCUUCGACUUCCCGCCUCCUCCUCCGAAGCUGAUGAAGAUCCCUGAGCAAGGUCUCUGGAAGCAGCAGACGCCUGCCAAGGGAGAUAACUACAACUAUGUGGACUUCCAGAAAACAUCGGACAACUCCGACCCAAAGGAAGAACUGCGGAAACCAGCCUUGAAAGGACGCGGGAAGACGUACCAGGGUCCGAAAUAUCUGCAUCUCACCCUGUUGUCCAUCACAUGCAUCCUUGGCAUCAUCGGCGGCGUCUACUCCCAGGCUGACGCCAGCACCAUCGUCCACAUCACGGUGUAUGCUCCACGAGCCUUCUUGUCCAGGAAAGCGACAGUGUUCUUCCACAAGGACUCGGACGGAGACGUUUUCUAUGAGAAACUCAUCAAGGUGGAGAGGUUUGACGUGAGUGAUCCUGUGCUGUCCGACCUCCGCACCCAGCUGUGUCUGAACCACACGUGUGACCACAGCUGCGACGAGAGUACCGGACAAUGCAUCUGCCGCAAGGGCUUCAAGAUGGGGACCAAUGGCAAAUGUCAAGAUGUAAAUGAGUGUAUGGAGGGAGGGGCACAGUGUCACCCCACGGCUGGGUGCUUAAACAGUAUGGGCUUGUACGAGUGUAUAUGCCCCGACGGUUUCUAUGGUGACGGAAAAUCUUGCCAGGAGUGCCGCGUGCCGUGUAACCCCGGGACGUACGAGGUGCAGCCGUGCACCAAUACCACCCACAAGAUCUGCCGAGAUUGUGCCAAGGUGUGUCCUGAUGGCUACUUCAUGCUGAGGCCGUGCAAGUCAGACAGCAACUCCCACUGCAGGGCCUGUCAGAAGCAGUGCUCCUCUGGACAGUUUGAGUUCCAGACUUGUCAGAGAGAUACCAACAGAGAAUGCAAAGGCCACGCUCACCUCCCGCCGCCCGAGGCCUCCCAGAACAUCAUCCUGGAGAGCGAAUAUGGCGUCGUUGAUCGCAGGGUCGAGGAGGAUUACCUCCCUUCGAUGCAGAGCGGCAACUUUGGGUUCACACUGGACAGGGGUGAAGAUCUGAAGGUCAAGGUCACAAUGAAAUCAGUCCAGGCAGCGCAGCUCUUUGUUCCGAUCAACUCCUCUGAGAAGGGAAGUUUCCGAGCCAUCCCCCAGUCCGGCACCCAGAGUCAGAUCCUCCGUCAGUUCUGUCCCCACCCGGUCCCUGACCACUACAUCCUGCAUCACGACAGACUCAUGAACAUCACAUACAGCCUGGAUGAUGACCAGAAAGCUCAGCCGUGUCAGUCAUACGAGACAGUUGGAACAUUCCCAGGCUCCUCUUCUGCUGGCCCUUCCCACUUCCUGUACCCGCAGCCAGGACCCAUGACCGAUCUCUUCGAUGGGAUCCAAGCUGACUUCUUCAGAAGCUCCACAGUGUGGGUGGAGAAGUCUAAACGGUGUCAGCACUACAGCAAGCGGUGUGAGGACUGCACGCGGGACUGUGCGCGGCAGAUGACACAAAGCAGCUCAGAGUGUUCAGUGCUGGGCAGUGAGAGUGACAACGGCUACUCCCCGCGUCUCCGUGUGUGCUACACCUGCUGCGCCCGCAGCAACUGCAGCGACAUCUGCAAGGACUACCACAAGCGACACUGCCAGCCCAGGAAAUGUCUGAAGAGCAACUGGAUGGAGUUCCACAUCCGCCCUCAGUGGGACAGUAGUCGGAUGAACCACUUCUACUGCCACAUCAGACCGUUGCCACGGCAACACCUCCUAGAGCUGGAGUUCAGUCUGCAGUAUCAAGGUCAAUCGUUCUACAAGGGGAAGGUCAGCCUCAAGGGAGAUAAGCAGUGGGAGAAGGAAGGCAAGAUGAACUUCAAAGGCAAGAUCGUGCAUAUCGAGGUCGACUCCAAGCUCGGGGCACCGCCGGACUUCCUGGAAGGAGAGGUGUCGGGACACCGGGGAAUGUUCAAGGUCGGCCAUUACCGGAACCAAGGACCAUCUGUCUUCUCCUCCGUGAUUGGUGGAGAGUCUGUGUCCAUCAGACCCAAGCAUCCAUUUGGAGAGAUGGACACGCCAGUGACUGGCAAGAACUACGACCGAGUCGUGCUGGAGAACUCUGUGUUAGCGACGGAGGUCGAGGGACCAUACAAGGUCAGCUCCGACCUCAUGGUGGUCACCUACCUCAACGACACCUUCCCCUACCACGUGACGCACAAGAACGCCGCCCCGCGCCUCGAGGUCAGACUUCCCAAGGAGGUGUCCAUUGUGGCCUCGGUGUUCGAGAGGGUCACACUGCAGCACAAGACCAUCCGAGCCGAUCUGGUCAACAAUGACACGCACUGGGUGGUGGGAGUGUCCGGGCGGGUCAAGACUUGUCCAGGCCUGCUGAAGAUGGACGUGUACGACCCGGGCUACCCCACUGAGGCGCUAUUCAAGUAUUGGGUGGCCUUGAAGUGUCCUCGCAAGUUCCACGUCAAGUUCUCCAUGCCGACCUCUGACCUCCCCGACACGGAGAAGGAAGUGGUGGUGAUGAUAACCGAUGAUGUCCAGACUCAUCAGAUACGUAUCCACAACCCGGGGCACUACGAGAAGGUCAAGGUCAACACGGAUGACACUACUGCUGCUUCUGAUGCAGCCUCAGCUCCUAACAGUGCCACUGUGACAGAGAGACGGACAGCAGAGCCAACAUAUGGCGUGGUGUUCUCCAUCCCAUUCCUGGCGUCAGUGUGCGGAGCUGUCAUCCUCCUCCUCUUCCUCGCCAUAUUUGGUCUUGCGCUGGCUCCAGAUUCAAUCGGGCCGGAGUUACCUGCCCUUCGGUGGCAUCACACAUGCAUGAUGAUUGGCUACGUCACACUCAACUUCCUGUACAGCAUCGUCGUCACCAUGACGGUAUUCAGCAUCAUCGUCCUUGCUGUCAACAAAGACAACUCCCAGUUUGUGUCACAGUUCAAGCAGCAGUCGUACGCCAAGACGGCCGUCCACCACUUGGAGCUGCUCGCGAUGCAGCGCCACCUGGAGGAGGAGAUCAACAGACAGAAUAACUUCGCCAGCCUCACCAAGACGCGGUGUGAGGACAGCAUGAAGCCUGUCAUUGAGGACAUGCACAAGCUCCGCAAUCAGCUGCUGGAGAAGACGGCCAAUGUGUUCGAACAACAGAACAUUGUGACACUGCUGAGUGAACACUCCCAUGAAGUCCUCACCAAGCUCUCCCAGAACAUGUUCACAUUCAGGAACAACUUCCAUCGCUUCGUGCGGAACCUCCUGUCACAGCUGUCACAUGACAUCGAGUCCUCGCUGACUGACGUGGAGAACAACCGGUGGCUAUCCGGGGCACGCUUCCUGCACGGCGCCGUCAUCAACAUCCGCAAACACCUCAACAACGUCUCCUCUAAACAGUUCCUGGACUGGGCCCACCUCCAACACAAUCUGGCCAGACUAGCAGAUGAGAUGACAGCCCCCCCUGCCCUACCCGACAUACCCCACAUUGAGGGCAUCCCUACCCCCACUGCCCAGCCCCUGGGGGGCAGAAACGCUCGCAACCUCUCUCCCACGCAGUCCAAGACUCGGAAGGUGAGGAUUCACAGUCAUUGGUUCUACCCCUUCGGAACCUCAAGUACAGACGGAGGUCAGGUGACCUCACGACCCUUCGGUCAGGAUGCCACCAAGGUUGCGGAGACCCCCGGAUUCAUGUCGAUGUUCUACGUGUUCCUGGCGCUGAUGCUGUGUGUCGACUCCAUCCUCUUCCUCCACCGCUUCUCCAAGACCAUUGCCAUGGGGAGACUACUCUUGUAUGGCUACCCCGAGUACGUGGACUGUCGAGAGAAACCUGCCCCAGGAGAGGAGGACAUGGAGGACGAUGUGUUCCAGGAGGACGGUAAGGACCAAGGCGGUGCCAGGAACACCAAGUCUUUCCUGUCCCGUGCUGCACUCGCCGGCAAGAAGUUCUUCAUUCAGGUUGUGUCCACCCUGUUCAUUCCAAAGGCAGCAGUGACCGUCGUCCUGUGCGUCAUCCUCUACACGACCGUGAGCGUCUCAGACAAGAUCUUCACACAGGACAUGCUCAAGAGUCUUGGCCUCCACUAUGACAUGAACAAGUACCUUGGCCUGCAGCAGGAGAUGAUCAACAGCCGGAUCCUGUCUCACGCGGAGCAGAUUAACAGCGUGGAGUACCCGUCCUACCAGAGCUGGAUGGUUGCGUACAUCGAACGUCACCAGCGCAUCCUGGAGGUGCACCGACAGGAGCUGGAGGCCAUGAGGUCGGUCCACAAUGAGACUUACUGUCGCUACCUCACCCACCUCGGGAUGAACGUCAACUGUUCCGCCCCCGAGGACACAGAACACACCUACAGGAUCUCCACCCCGGGAUGUCGCUUUGCUCCUGUGUGGCCCAACUUCUACUUCAGGUCGCCGAGCGCCAAGGACGACAUCGCGGACCAGCAGCUGAGGGCCCUCCUGGAUGGGAUGAGGCACAUCAUCAUCAACACCUGCCAGACUGUGGCCGUCUUCAUGGCCAUUGUUGUCCUCAAAGAGCUGUUUGGGGCCGUCCUCUGGAUCUACAUCAGAAGAUCUGGAUUUGUGAGAUUAAGGAUCAUCUUUGAAACAACAGAAGAACAAACAAUCCGAGAUGGCUGAACUACUUCUGUGCGUGCAACACCAGUCAGUGGUGACCCAAGAACGUGGACUGUUGACCCAGGAGUUGAUCUGAUUAAACUACCUGUGAUGAAUCUUAAGUUCUCUUCUUCUUACAAAGGGUGAUUGCUCCAUCACGGGAUGAUUGCUCUGAUAUGUGAUGAUUGCUCAGUCACAGGAUGAUUGCUCUGACAGGUGAUGUGAUUGAGUCAAUCUGCUUCUUGCCGGGAAAUGUGGACCGCAAACUGCAAUACAUCAGCAUUGUGAUAUUUCUGGCAUUAUGCUGGCACCUGACAUUCAGUGGCUGUUAGCUGACGGACGUUCAUCGUCUGACUCGUGACGUGUGCAGGACUUACUCAGGCUUCAAGUGAUGAUCCUCAGACUUUGGAGUUGGAAGAUCUGAAUACACAGACUAUAUGAUGAAUCAAUGAUGGCAGAUUCUCCUGAAAAGUUGUGUAUCUAGGUGCACGGUUGUGUCUAGGUGCACGGUUGUGUCUAGGUGCACGGUUGUGUCUAGGUGCACGGUUGUGUCUAGGUGCACGGUUGUGUCUAGGUGCACGGUUGUGUCUAGGUGCACGGUUGUGUCUAGGUGCACAGUUGUGCACAUGAUAUGUUGAGGUCCUGUUAACAAUCAAGGGAGGUAACUCUGAAUGUGUGUUCAUUGCCCUGCUGCACAACAUGGACGAGACACUGCCUGGCAGUACAAGGGAGACAACUCUGACGACCCUGCCUGUCCCUGGCCUGCUUCCCUCUGCUCAACUCGUCCUGUGCUGAUGCUGAUGCUGUUUCCUCCUGCUGUGUAUACAAGGCCUCGGUGCACAUGCACUAGGCAUCAUGGCUAUUACAGCAAUCGGAUUCUAUUCCUUUGUGCCAUGUAAACUGUAAAUAAACAUUGUACUGUUCAAAAUUGUACUGUACCACCUGUACAGCAUUGUACUGUACAAUAUGUACAACAUUGUACUGUACAAUAUGUAUCACAGAGUCCUGCUGUGUGGAUCUGUCAGUUGGUGGACAUAUCUGUGUAUAUCACGGAGUCCUGCUGUGUUGAUCUGUCAGUUAGUUGACAUAUCUGUGUAUAUCACGGAGUCCUGCUGUGUGGAUCUGUCAGUUGAUGGACAUAUCUGUGUAUAUCACAGAGUCCUGCUGUGUGGAUCUGUCAGUUAGUGGACAUAUCUGUGUAUAUCACGGAGUCCUGCUGUGUUGAUCUGUCAGUUAGUGGACAUAUCUGUGUAUAUCACAGAGUCCUACUGUGUUGAUCUGUCAGUUAGUGGACAUAUCUGUGUAUAUCACAGAGUCCUGCUGUGUUGAUCUGUCAGUUGAUGGACAUAUCUGUGUAUAUCACAGAGUCCUGCUGUGUGGAUCUGUCAGUUGGUGGACAUAUCUGUGUAUAUCACGGAGUCCUGCUGUGUUGAUCUGUCAGUUGAUAGACAUAUCUGUGUAUAUCACGGAGUCCUGCUGUGUUGAUCUGUCAGUUGGUGGACAUAUCUGUGUAUAUCACAGAGUCCUACUGUGUUGAUCUGUCAGUUGGUGGACAUAUCUGUGUAUAUCACAGAGUCCUGCUGUGUUGAUCUGUCAGUUGGUGGACAUAUCUGUGUAUAUCACGGAGUCCUGCUGUGUUGAUCUGUCAGUUGGUGGACAUAUCUGUGUAUAUCACAGAGUCCUGCUGGGUGGAUCUGUCAGUUGGUGGACAUAUCUGUGUAUAUCACAGAGUCCUGCUGUGUUGAUCUGUCAGUUGGUGGACAUAUCUGUGUAUAUCACAGAGUCCUGCUGUGUUGAUCUGUCAGUUGGUGGACAUAUCCGUGUGUACCUGCACAUGAUCUAUCUGCCGUGCUGUUGCAGUUGUAAAUAUGGCAGCCAUUCUGAAUGUCUGUUUCGAUGGGUUUUUUUACAUCUUGUGUUAAAUGAGGUUGUUGAUGUUAUUGAUGUUGUUGAUGUUGUUGAUAUUGUUACAGCAUUUUCCUCAUGUACAACAAAUCCAACUGUUACAAUGUCUGCACAUGUCAGUGUACAGAUGCACCAUCAUGCAGGGUACGAUUGCAUGAUCCGAGUCACUGAUAUAAACACCAAGUAUACACCUCCUAUAAAUAGAACAUUAACACCUGUUUCUUACUGCAACACUAUAUUAUAAUGUGACUGUGAAAUUAAAGAUGUUGUGGCCAUGAGAAAAAUCUUGUCCUAUUUGUCCGACUUCACUUGUACUUCGGGUAGGGACAAAUUACAAUGUUUUAAGAGGUUUCUUUUUAACUAAUUCUGAAUUUAUGUCUAAUGUUAUUUUAAUCUCACUUCUUGUUGUCUGUUUGUUAUUGUGAUCGUAUUUUAUGUUAUUGUACUGUUCUGACUAAAAUGAAUAAAACACUGAAUCAUA